GGAGAGUGGCGGGUGGCUGGUGCUCCCCGCGGUCUUCAAAACCGUUGAUCCCUGUUGAUACAGGGAUGGUAGGUUCGAUUCCUUCCCUCUCCGCCA
rnacentral:tRNA from 1 species